ensembl:lncRNA
GAAGAAAAAAUAUGCUUUACAGAGCGGAUGACACGCUGCAGCCUGCCCUUGUCCUUGGCUGUGGCUGCAGCGUACCAGACGGUGAUGGAGGAGCAGAGGAUGGACUCGAUGAUGGCCGUGUAAAAGUGCACCAUCAUCGUCUUUGGCAGGUUGAAUUUCUUCAGCUGCCUGAGGAAGAACAACCUCUGCUGCUUAUUGGUGAUGGAGCUGAUGUUCAGCUCCCACUUGAGGUCCUGGGUGAUGAUGGAGCCCAGGAAACGGAAGGAAUCCACAAUAGUGACGGGGGAGUCGCACAGAGUAAUGGGGGAAGGUGGGGCUCUGUUCCUCCGGAAAUCCACAACCAUCUCCACUGUCUUUAGGGCGUUGAGCUCUAGGUUGUUCUGGCUGCACCACGACACCAGAUUCCCACCUGUAGGCGGACUCAUCACCACCAGAGAUCAGUCCAACGAAGGUGGUGUCAUCCGCAAAUUUCAGGAGCUUGACGGACUGCACUGCAUGAAAAGUGAGAUUUUCGUCCCCGGAAACGCCCGGAAAUCUCCCUAAUUUCCGACCAUUUCCGACAAUUUGCAACCCGCGCACGUCGUGUUUGUCGGA